rnacentral:rRNA from 1 species
UGCCUUUGGCAGUCUCAGGCGAUGAAAGACGUGGUAGCCUGCGAUAAGCUUCGGGGAGUCGGCAAACAGACUUUGAUCCGGAGAUCUCUGAAUGGGGGAACCCACCUGGCAUAAGUCAGGUAUCUUGUACUGAAUACAUAGGUGCAAGAGGCGAACCAGGGGAACUGAAACAUCUAAGUACCCUGAGGAAAAGAAAUCAACCGAGAUUCCCUUAGUAGUGGCGAGCGAACGGGGACUAGCCCUUAAGUGGCUUUGAGAUUAGCGGAACGCUCUGGAAAGUGCGGCCAUAGUGGGUGAUAGCCCUGUACGCGAAAAUCUCUUAGUCAUGAAAUCGAGUAGGACGGAGCACGAGAAACUUUGUCUGAAUAUGGGGGGACCAUCCUCCAAGGCUAAAUACUACUGACUGACCGAUAGUGAACCAGUACCGUGAGGGAAAGGCGAAAAGAACCCCGGAGAGGGGAGUGAAAUAGAUCCUGAAACCGUAUGCGUACAAGCAGUGGGAGCCUACUUGUUAGGUGACUGCGUACCUUUUGUAUAAUGGGUCAGCGACUUAUAUUCAGUGGCGAGCUUAACCGAAUAGGGGAGGCGUAGCGAAAGCGAGUGUUAAUAGCGCGUUUAGUCGCUGGGUAUAGACCCGAAACCGGGCGAUCUAUCCAUGGGCAGGUUGAAGGUUAGGUAACACUGACUGGAGGACCGAACCGACUACCGUUGAAAAGUUAGCGGAUGACCUGUGGAUCGGAGUGAAAGGCUAAUCAAGCUCGGAGAUAGCUGGUUCUCCUCGAAAGCUAUUUAGGUAGCGCCUCAUGUAUCACUGUAGGGGGUAGAGCACUGUUUCGGCUAGGGGGUCAUCCCGACUUACCAAACCGAUGCAAACUCCGAAUACCUACAAGUGCCGAGCAUGGGAGACACACGGCGGGUGCUAGUCCGUCGUGAAAAGGGAAACAACCCAGACCGUCAGCUAAGGUCCCAAAGUUAUGGUUAAGUGGGAAACGAUGUGGGAAGGCUUAGACAGCUAGGAGGUUGGCUUAGAAGCAGCCACCCUUUAAAGAAAGCGUAAUAGCUCACUAGUCGAGUCGGCCUGCGCGGAAGAUGUAACGGGGCUCAAACCAUACACCGAAGCUACGGGUAUCACUUAGGUGAUGCGGUAGAGGAGCGUUCUGUAAGCCUGUGAAGGUGAGUUGAGAAGCUUGCUGGAGGUAUCAGAAGUGCGAAUGCUGACAUGAGUAACGACAAUGGGAGUGAAAAACUCCCACGCCGAAAGACCAAGGUUUCCUGCGCAACGUUAAUCGACGCAGGGUUAGUCGGUCCCUAAGGCGAGGCUGAAAAGCGUAGUCGAUGGAAAACAGGUUAAUAUUCCUGUACUUCUGGUUAUUGCGAUGGAGGGACGGAGAAGGCUAGGCCAGCUUGGCGUUGGUUGUCCAAGUUUAAGGUGGUAGGCUGAGAUCUUAGGUAAAUCCGGGAUCUUAAGGCCGAGAGCUGAUGACGAGUUGCCAUUAGGCGACGAAGUGGUUGAUGCCAUGCUUCCAAGAAAAGCUUCUAAGCUUCAGGUAACCAGGAACCGUACCCCAAACCGACACAGGUGGUUGGGUAGAGAAUACCAAGGCGCUUGAGAGAACUCGGGUGAAGGAACUAGGCAAAAUGGCACCGUAACUUCGGGAGAAGGUGCGCCGGUGAGGGUGAAGGACUUGCUCCGUAAGCUCAUGCCGGUCGAAGAUACCAGGCCGCUGCGACUGUUUAUUAAAAACACAGCACUCUGCAAACACGAAAGUGGACGUAUAGGGUGUGACGCCUGCCCGGUGCCGGAAGGUUAAUUGAUGGGGUUAGCUAACGCGAAGCUCUUGAUCGAAGCCCCGGUAAACGGCGGCCGUAACUAUAACGGUCCUAAGGUAGCGAAAUUCCUUGUCGGGUAAGUUCCGACCUGCACGAAUGGCGUAACGAUGGCGGCGCUGUCUCCACCCGAGACUCAGUGAAAUUGAAAUCGCUGUGAAGAUGCAGUGUAUCCGCGGCUAGACGGAAAGACCCCGUGAACCUUUACUAUAGCUUUGCACUGGACUUUGAAUUUGCUUGUGUAGGAUAGGUGGGAGGCUUUGAAGCGUGAACGCCAGUUUGCGUGGAGCCAAUCUUGAAAUACCACCCUGGCAACUUUGAGGUUCUAACUCAGGUCCGUUAUCCGGAUCGAGGACAGUGUAUGGUGGGUAGUUUGACUGGGGCGGUCUCCUCCUAAAGAGUAACGGAGGAGUACGAAGGUGCGCUCAGACCGGUCGGAAAUCGGUCGUAGAGUAUAAAGGCAAAAGCGCGCUUGACUGCGAGACAGACACGUCGAGCAGGUACGAAAGUAGGUCUUAGUGAUCCGGUGGUUCUGUAUGGAAGGGCCAUCGCUCAACGGAUAAAAGGUACUCCGGGGAUAACAGGCUGAUACCGCCCAAGAGUUCAUAUCGACGGCGGUGUUUGGCACCUCGAUGUCGGCUCAUCACAUCCUGGGGCUGAAGCCGGUCCCAAGGGUAUGGCUGUUCGCCAUUUAAAGUGGUACGCGAGCUGGGUUUAGAACGUCGUGAGACAGUUCGGUCCCUAUCUGCCGUGGACGUUUGAGAUUUGAGAGGGGCUGCUCCUAGUACGAGAGGACCGGAGUGGACGAACCUCUGGUGUUCCGGUUGUCACGCCAGUGGCAUUGCCGGGUAGCUAUGUUCGGAAGAGAUAACCGCUGAAAGCAUCUAAGCGGGAAACUUGCCUCAAGAUGAGAUCUCACUGGAGCCUUGAGCUCCCUGAAGGGCCGUCGAAGACUACGACGUUGAUAGGUUGGGUGUGUAAGCGCUGUGAGGCGUUGAGCUAACCAAUACUAAUUGCCCGUGAGGCUUGACCAUAUAACACCCAAGCAAUU